rnacentral:rRNA from 1 species
CCAGCCCGCUCAGAAACUCAAAGGAAUUGACGGGGCCCGCACAAGCGGAGGAGCAUGUGGUUUAAUUCGAUGAUACGCGAGGAACCUUACCUGGGCUCGAACGUAAGAUGACUGUAGGUGAAAGCUUACAUCUCUUCGGAGCAUUUUACGAGGUGCUGCAUGGUUGUCGUCAGCUCGUGCCGUGAGGUGUCGGGUUAAGUCCCAUAACGAGCGCAACCCCUACCUUUAGUUGCCAUCAGGUAAUGCUGGGGACUCUAAAGGAACUGCCUACGCAAGUAGUGAGGAAGCGGGGAUGACGUCAAAUCAGCACGGCCCUUACGUCCAGGGCUACACACGUGCUACAAUGGCCGAUACAGAGGGCAGCUACCUGGUGACAGGAUGCAAAUCUCCAAAGUCGGUCUCAGUUCGGAUCGGAGUCUGCAACCCGACUCCGUGAAGUUGGAUUCGCUAGUAAUCGCGCAUCAGCCAUGGCGCGGUGAAUACGUUCCCGGGCCUU